UUAGUACUCCCUCCGUCCAGAAAUACUUGUCGUAGAAAUGGAUGUAUCUAGAUGUAUUUUAGUUCUAGAUACAUCUAUUUUUAUCCAUUUCUCCGACAAGUAUUUUCGGACAAAGGGAGUAGUAG
rnacentral:pre_miRNA from 1 species